AGUGAACGCUGGCGGUAGGCCUAACACAUGCAAGUCGAACGGCAGCACAGUAAGAGCUUGCUCUUACGGGUGGCGAGUGGCGGACGGGUGAGGAAUACAUCGGAAUCUACUUUUUCGUGGGGGAUAACGUAGGGAAACUUACGCUAAUACCGCAUACGACCUACGGGUGAAAGCAGGGGAUAUUCGGACCUUGUGCGAUUGAAUGAGCCGAUGUCGGAUUAGCUAGUUGGCGGGGUAAAGGCCCACCAAGGCGACGAUCCGUAGCUGGUCUGAGAGGAUGAGCAGCCACAGUGGAACUGAGACACGGUCCAGACACCUACGGGAGGCAGCAGUGGGGAAUGUUGGACAAUGGGCGCAAGCCUAAUCCAGCCAUACCGCGUGGGUGAAGAAGGCCUUCGGGUUGUAAAGCCCUUUUGUUGGGAAAGAAAAGCAGCAGGUUAAUACCCCGCUGUGCUGACGGUACCCAAAGAAUAAGCACCGGCUAACU
rnacentral:rRNA from 1 species